GGAUGUGAGGGUAAUGUGGUUGUGACAUUUAUCACCCUAUUAAUUGCCAGGGUUGAUUCAACUGAUUUGGCUGGCUAAGCAGGUGUCCCCUUCCUUCCUAUCUGCUCAUGUGUGUNCCUUCCAAAGCUCUGUGCUUGGUUGAAGAAGACAACCAUCCCAGACAGGAGUGUACCAUUCUUCGAUCAAGGGUAUCCUAUAGCUGCCCUGCUGUGCUGGAACCUCCAAACAAGCUGAAGAUCCAUUGUAGGAGAUGUAACUCUCAACAAUUUUGCCAUCACAAACCAUAGUGAUAGUUAGCAACUUUGAUUGUCUCACAAG
rnacentral:snRNA from 1 species